UACGAAGGGGGCUAGCGUUGCUCGGAAUCACUGGGCGUAAAGGGUGCGUAGGCGGGGCUUUAAGUCAGGGGUGAAAUCCUGGAGCUCAACUCCAGAACUGCCUUCGAUACUGAGAGUCUCGAGUCCGGGAGAGGUGAGUGGAACUCCGAGUGUAGCGGUGAAAUGCGUAGAUAUCAGUCGGAACACCGGUGGCGAAGGCGGCUUCUUGGGCCGUUCCUGACGCUGAGGCGCGAAAGCUGGGGGAGCGAACGGG
rnacentral:rRNA from 1 species